UCGCCCCCCCCCCCGCAGGUGCCACCUUGACGUGGUGGGGGGGGCUUAACUGCUCCAAUGGUGACUGAGAGCUGUGCUGGUGGUAGUGUAACAACCGGCAGGUCCAACUAAGCCAGAGAGGCCUCAGCUGAGGAGCAGAACUAAGAGCACCUAACCCAUUAGCAUUAUGGAGAAUCAAACCAAAAACAAGUCUAUACUGGCUCUGUCGUCGCCCAGGAUAAAAAGGACCGUGGUGGAUGCUAUUGAUUCUGGACAUCCAUCAACAAGUGGGCUACAGAAUCAAAAUACAAAUGAACAGUCACGGAAGCGGCAGAAAUAUACAAUGCCAGAAAACCGCACUAUUAUUGUUGUUGUUCUUGUUAUUAUUAUUAUUAUUAUUAUUAUUAUUAUUAUUAUUAUUAUUAUUAUCUAGUGUCCUUUUUACAUUAUUUUUACUGCUAUGACAAUAUCCUACAGAACCCUGGGACUGGUUCUUUAGGGGUGUAUUUAGAAUUCCCAAUCAGAGAGCUCUAGUGCCUUACCAGAUUUUGGACCUUAGGAUGGAGCCAGGGCAGUUAAAGCAGAAUCAUAGUGGUAUACGUGUGUAGUAUGAAAGCCAACAGGGACAGAUAGGAGAGGAAGGGACUAAGAUCCUAAACUGGGCCUCCCAGAAGAGGGUCAGCCCCAUUGCCCCCAGAUUUUGUUUCAUUUUGAAAUAUAACACUUGUGAGGCUGCAGAAUGUGAGGGCUCCCAUCCAUACUUAGAAGAAUGGCCUGGAUCGCCAGACGUUGGUUCAGGGAGUCAUCUUGCUUGGCCAUGUGCUGUAAAGGGCACCCAAACAAAGAAAUCUUGUUCCCUCUCCCUUUUCUUUCUUCACCUUCAUCUGAAUGACAAAGGCUUCCAAUUACAGUCCUUUUGGGAAUCAAACAGCAAGCCAUGAUACUCACUUCGCGGCUUGCAGAUUAAGACAGAUAAAAUGUAAUGGGGAGUUAGAUUUAUACAAAGGAGUUGACUCUGCAUUCGGAUACUUUGUGGGUCUGGGCUAGGAAUCCGGACCUGCUCUGAAAGAAUAACUAGCACCAUUUUUAGAUGAAAUGAGCUUGAAAAUUCACAGCUGCCUCCCUUAGCCACCCCGCCUUUCCACCAUCGCCACCUCCAUUGUAUCACUGAAAGAUCAUAAAUAAUUCAGCCUUGCUCAAAUAUUUAUGGAAAUCAAUUUAGUCCCGGCCUUUCUUUCUUCCUUUCUGAAACACCACCUUUCUGCUGUGCAUCUUGAGCUGAGCAUCGACACUUUACACCCACUUUGAGAGAGAAUAGACAGCUGUUUGCUCAGUCUACAGGCUGAAUCUGAAAAAGACUCCUAUCCAGCACCCUAAAUGCCUUUUGUCCUUGAGCCAGACUAAGCAAAGAUCUGAUUCAUUAUAAAGCAGCUGGUUUUGAAAUAAGUUUCCUUUUUGAAGCCCAGAAACUGGUGACUCCACUCUCUAAAGUUUUGCAACUGGUAAAGGGCAUUUCUUUCCCUUUUCCUUAUUCAUUCGGUGACGCAGUUAAUCGUUUAUGUUUGUGUCCUUAGAUGGAAAGUAAGAGGGUCACUGUGACUACAAUAGGAGUCCAGACAGUGUGUCUGAGUUGGGGAGGAGCUCUGAGCAUUUGCCCCAAGGCUUUGCUCACAUACCACUGGAACAUGAAUUAAUUUGUUGCUCUCCGAACCACCUGGAAUGUGGAUACGCCAGCGUAACUGCAUAGACUUUGCAGACGUGAAGAAAAGCAGUGCAAUUUCCUCUUUCCUAUUGUCUUUUCAAAAAUAAUCUGAAAAUACUUUCUGAUGAGUUGGCAACAGUGGUCUAAUACUACUAGUAGAGCUAAAUACAAUAGAGUCUCACUUAUCCAACAUAAAUGGCAGAAUGUUGAAUAAGUGAAUAUGUUGGAUAAUAAGAGAGCCAUGUCUGAGUUAGGGCCUUUUACCCUAGCACUCAAGACCUGGCUCUUUACUAGAGCUUUUAAUCUAUGUUAAUUUUAUCAAUAUUUGUAUGUACAGUAGAGUCUCACUUAUCCAAGCUAAAUGGGCCAGCAGAAGCUUGGAUAAGCGAAUAUCUUGGAUAAUAAGGAGGGAUUAAGGAAAAGCCUAUUAAACAUCAAAUUGGGUUAUGAUUUUACAAAUUAAGCACCAAAACACCAUGUUAUACAACAAAUUUGACAGAAAAUGUAGUUCAAUACACAGUAAUGUUAUGUUGUAAUUACUGCAUUUACGAAUUUAGCACCAAAAUAUCAUGAUAUAUUGAAAACAUUGACUAAAAAAUGGCUUGGAUUAUCCAGAGGCUUGGAUUAGCGAGGCUUGGAUUAGUGAGACUCUACUGUAUGUAUUUUUAUCCUUUACAAUUUUAUCUUGUAAAUCGCCCAGAGCAUCGUGGAUGGAGGGCGAUUAAUAAGUAAUUAAAUGAUGAUGAUGAUGAUGAUGAUUAUUAGGAGGCAUUAAGGAAAAGCCUAUUAAACAUCAAAUUAGGUUAUGAUUUUACAAAUGAAGCACCAAAACAUCAUGUUAGACAACAAAUUUGGCAGAAAAAGUACAGUAGAGUCUCACUUAUCCAACAUAAACAGGCCGGCAGAAUGUUGGAUAAGCGAAUAUGUUGGAUAAUAAGGAGGCAUUAAGGAAAAGCCUAUUAAACAUCAAAUUAGGUUAUGAUUUUACAAAAGAAGCACCAAAACAUCAUGUUAGACAACAAAUUUGGCAGAAAAAGUAGUUCAAUACGCAGUAAUGCUAUGUAGUAAUUACUGUAUUUAUGAAUUUAGCACCAAAAUAUCAUGAUAUAUUGAAAACAUUGACUACAAAAAUGCCUUGGAUAAUCCAGAAUGUUGGAUAAGCGAGUGUUGGAUAAGUGAGACUCUACUGUAUCACUGGCAUUCUGUGCCUUAUAACUGCUUUCAUAUUCUCGACAUGUAAAAACAAAACAACACUAAGUGCUCUUUGCUCACACACAUGAAACAUAAAAACACUGCAGUCAUGUGCACUUUCACAUUUUAAAGUCCUUCAAACAUAACACUUCCAUUACUAAAGCCAUAAAAUGGAGCCUGCUUUUGUUGUUUUGUUGCUAAACACACACCCUUAAAUCUAAUCUCCCAACUAGAUUAGACCCACUGAAUCAAGGGGAGUCAAACUGCUGACUUCUCAUCGAUUCAACUGGCUUCUUUGAGUCAGGAUUAUCCACGGUCCUUAGAUCUCUGAAUUUCAACUUCAUGCUGAUCUUGUGGAUAAGAAGAUAAGAAAAGAAAUACGAUUCUCUGGAUGAUCAAGUGAAAGCAGCAGAUGAUAGAAGACUCAAUGAUAGAAACAUUAUUUACAGAUGGGAAAAGCUGGAAGAGCAUUACUGGAUUACCACGCCUCAACAAGCAAAAUAGUUUUACUACAAGUUUAAACAAGAUCUGGUAAUUGAAGAGGAGGUUGAGGGAACUCACGGUGGAACAGAUAAAAAAUAAAAGCCAAUGACAGAAGACUUGACUAGUGAGAAAGAAGAGGGAGAACAAUCAGGCAGUGACAAGGAAGAACGUAAACAAAGACGAAAUGGGAGAGAAAGGAAAAGCAGUUCAAACCAGAUAUUGUGGGUUAUUCUGCCUUGAUAUUCUAGGUUAUAUGGCUGUGUGGAAGGGCUCACAGAAAGAUUGGCUGUUAACCAUUUUUGUUAGAAACAACCAGGAGUGGUGGAAAGAAGAGUGUUCAUGAGAUAAACAGCACUGAAUAGAAUUAAUAGAUUGAUAUAUUUUUAUUAUUAUCUGUGAGAUUGGGAAAUUUGAUGGUACCACAAACAUUUUAUUUUUUGGUUAACCUGGGGUAGAGUCUGGAAGCAGUCAGAUAAACUGUGUCAUAUAUAACACUAGCUGUGCCCGGCCACGCAUUGCUGUGGCGAAGUAUGGUGGUAUGGGAAAUAAAGUAUUGAGGAAUUGGUGGUAGUUAAGGUAAAGGGUAAAGGUAUAUAGCUGUGUGGAACUGCCAUAUAAUCCAGUUAAAAUCAGAUAAUCUGUAUUUUAUAGGCAGUGUGGAAGAGGCCUAAGUGAGGCCUAACUCUGCCUGUCCCCUGGGCUGAGUGGGUUGCUAGGAGACCAAGUGGGUGGAGCUUAGCCUUCUAACUGGCAGCAAUUGGAUAAAAACAAUUAUUCCUCUCCCUCUAAUUAGGACUUUAUUUUUCUUUCUUUUUUUUGUUGUAUGAACGCAGAGGCAUGGAUGAAGGGUUGUGCUGCCAAGUUUAGUGUUUCUGGGAUGUGUAGUUUUAUUGUUUUGUCCUAGGCCGAAAUUUCAUUACCCUUUUAUAUAUAUACUAGUUGUGCCCGGCCACGCGUUGCUGUGGCGAAGUAUGGUGGUAUGGGAAAUAAAGUAUUGAGGAAUUGGAGGUAGUUAAGGUAAAGGGUAAAGGUUUUCCCCUGACAUUAAGUCCAUUAUAAAUGGGUUAUAUAGUGUGGAAGGGCCUUGAGUCUACACUGCCAUAUAAUCCAGUUAAAAUCAGUUAAUGUGUAUUUUAUACACAGUGUGGAAGAGGCCUAACUGAGGCCUAACUCUGCCUGUCCCCUGGGCUGAGUGGGUUCCUAGGAGACCCAGUGGGCGGAGCUUAGCCUUCUAACUAGCAGCAAUUGGAUAAAAACAAUUAUUCCUCUCCCUCUAAUUAGGACUUUAUUUUUCUUUCUUUUUUUGUUGUAUGAACGCAGAGGCAUGGAUGAAGGGUUGUGCUGCCAAGUUUAGUGUUUCUGGGAUGUGUAGUUUUGUUGUUUUGUCCUAGGCCGAAAUUUCAUUACCCUUUUAUAUAUAUCUAUAUAUAUAAAAGAGUGAUGGCAUCACGGCGACCCACAAAACAACAAAACUACAGGCCCCCCAACCUCGAAAUUUGACAACACAACCUAUCAUCCACGCCUCUAGGUUGAUCCAACAAAAAGAAAAGAAAAAUAAAGUCCUAAUUAGAGAGAGAGGAAUAAUUGCUUUUAUCCAAUUGCUGCCAGUUAGAAGGCUAAGCUCCUCCAACUUGGUCUCCUAGCAACCCAAUAAAAAAUAAUAAAAAACACUAAAAAGUAAUACAAUAAAAUACUAUAAUAACAGAAAAUAACUCAAAAUAAUACAAGAAAAUAAUAAAAUAUAAUAAAUAAAAAUAUAACUUACAAUAAAAUUAAUAAAAAAUUGCAAAUAACGUCAAAUAAAAAUUACACAACAAUUUUUAACCAACACCACCACCACUUUGCCACAGCAACGCGUGGCCGGGCACAGCUAGUAUAUAUAUAUAUGACAAUACCACAGGAUAGAUAUUUAAUGAUAAUGACUAUAUCUUAUUUUUAUGCCAAAACCAGUUUAUGUACAGUAGAGUCUCACUUAUCCAACGUAAACGGGCCAGCAGAACGUUGGAUAAGCGAAUAUGUUGGAUAAUAAGGAGAGAUUAAGGAGAAGCCUAUUAAACACCAAAUUAGGUUAUGAUUUUACAAAUUAAGCACCAAAACAUCAUGUUAUACAACAAAUUUGACAGAAAAAGUAGUUCAAUACGCAGUCAUGCUACGUAGUAAUUACUGUAUUUACAAAUUUAGCACCAAAAUAUCAUGAUAUAUUGAAAACAUUGACUACAAAAAUGCAUUGGAUAAUCCAGAACGUUGGAUAAGCGAAUGUUGGAUAAGUGAGACUCUACUGUAUCUGCAGUUAAGAAUACUAUGAGUAGACAACAAAGAUGAUGAGAAGUGAAAAGACUACGCUGAAGGCGUAGAAGAAUACUAGUACAGUAGAGUUUCGCUUUAUCCAAUCUUUGCUUAUCCAACGUUCUGUAUCAUCCAACGCAGGUUGCCAUUUAGUAGUCAAUGUUUUUGUAGUCAGAUUUCCAAUACAUUGCGAAGUUUUGGUGCUAAAUUUGUAAAUACAGUAAUUAUUACAUAACGUUAUCAUGCGUUGAACUGCUUUUUCUGUUAUAAAACAUGAUAUUUUGAUGGUUAAUUUGUAAAAUCAUAACAUACUGUAUAUACUCGAGUAUAAGCUGACCCGAAUAUAAGCCGAGGCACCUAAAUUUACCACUAAAAAAAUGGGAAAACAUUGAUUCCAGUAUAAGCCGAGUGGUAAAUUUCAGAAAUAAAAAUAGAUACAUUAAUUGAGGCAUAAGUAGGUUAAAUGUUUUUUAAUAUUUACACAAAGCUCAAAUUUAAGAUAAGACUGUCCAACUCUGAUCAAAUCAUUAUUCUCAUCUUCUUCAAUGUAACUUUGCUUAAGUAUCCUUUUAAUAAUAAUAGAGGAAAAUAAUACAUGUAAUAAUAAUAAUAAUACAUACAGGAAAAUAAUACAAGUACAGUAGAGUCUCACUUAUCCAACACUCGCAUAUUCAACAUUCUGGAUUAUCCAACACAUUUUUGUAGUCAAUGUUUUCAAUACAUUGUGAUAUUUUGGUGCUAAAUUCGUAAAUACAGUAAUUACUAUGUAACAUUACCAUGUAUUGAACUACUUUUUCUGUCAAAUUUGUUGUAUAACAUGAUGUUUUGGUGCUUAAUUUGUAAAAUCAUAACCUUAUUUGAUGUUUAAUAGGCUUUUCCUUAACCCCUCAUUAACCAACAUAUUUGCUUAUCCAACAUUCUGCUGGCCCAUUUAUGUUGGAUAAGUGAGACUCUACUGUAAUAAUUGAGUGAAAUAAUAAAUGCAAUAAUAAUAAGAUCAGAGUGAAAUAAUAAAUGUAUUAAUAAUAAUAAUAAUAAUAAUAAUAAUAAUAUAGAGUAAAAUAAUUGUAAUAGUAGCAACAAUAAUAGAGAAAAAUAAUAAAUGUAAUAAUACCAAUAACAAUAGAGAAAAAUAAUAAAUGUACCAUAUAUUCUCGAUUAUAAGCUGUCCCAAAUAUAAGCCAAGCAGGACCCUCACCGAAGUAUAAGCUGAGGGGGGCUUUUUCAGUCUUAAAAAAAGAACUGAAAAACUAGGCUUAUACUCGAGUAUAUACAGUAAUUUGAUGUUUAAUAGGCUUUUCCUUAAUCCUGCCUUAUUAUUCAACAUUUUCACUUAUCCAGUGUUCUGCCAGCCCAUUUAUGUUGGAUAAAUGAGACGCUACUGUAUUGUUUUAGUGGAAUGUUUGCAUUGGUAGUGUUUAUUUGCAGAUUUGUUUACUGUGUAUUUAAUAAAAAUGAUUUAAAACAGAAAAAUAACCUUUCAAAGUAAACAUUGAAAUCGUUACAAAUUCACCAAAAUGUAACUUUACUUUUUCUCAAUACAUUGCUUUAAAAUGCAUCUUUGUGACACUUUCUGUAGCUCAAGUAACUAGUUGCAUCUAGUGUCAAAAUUUAUUUUCACCAAAGGCCACAUCAGUCUUAUGGCUGUUUGCAAUUGUAAUAAUGUGUAAAUUUAACUACCGUAGUGGCUUUUUUAGACCCUUACACAGAUCUGUUGUGCAGUGUUUACAGUGAGCUCUGCAGAAGAAGCUUCAGCUGCACUUCAUAAAAAGGAAAAUCGGUCUGUUUAAGCAAGUCCUGCAAAUGCUGAUUUGUUAUCAUUUACCACUCUCGGCUUAUAUUUGAAUCAAUGUUUCCCAGUUUUUCUGUGGUAAAAUUAGGUGCCUCGGCUUAUAUUUGGGUUGGCUUAUACUCGAGUAUAUACAGGUUCCAGAAUCCUCCAGCCCACACAGGUAGCUACUUAUAUUUCAAAAUCUAACUGGAAAAGUGUCUGAAAUCCUCAUUGGGGCCAAGUGAGUACAUUUCCCAUUGUAAUAAUUCUCAAUGAAGGCAAGACAAUUUAUUUGCUACUAGCUGUGCCCAGCCAUGCGUUGCUGUGGCAUUUUCUGGUGGUGUUGGUGAGAAAUUGUUGAGGUAGUGGUGGUAUUGAAUGUCUGUUGUAUGGUAGUCUUUAUGUUUAGUUUGCACACUGAAGUGGAUUAUAUGGCAGCGUGGAGUCAAGAUAAUCCAGUUCAAAGCAGAUAAUAUAAGAUUCUAAAUGGGUUAUAUAGCUGUGUGGAAGGGCCUUGAGUCUACACUGCCAUAUAAUCCAGUUAAAAUCUGAUAAUCUGUGGAAGAGGCCUAAGUGAGGCCUAACUGUGCCUGUCCCCUGGGCUGAGUAGGUUGCUAGGAGACCAAGUGGGCGGAAAUUAGCCUUCUAACUGGCAGUAAUUGGAUAAAAACUAUUAUUCCUCUCCCUGUAAUUAGGACUUUAUUUUUCUUUUCUUUUUGUUGUAUCAACCUAGAGCCGUGAAUGAUGGGUUGUGUUGUCAAAUUUCGAGGUUGGGGGGCCUGUAGUUUUGUUGUUUUGUCCGCUGCCCUGAUGCCAUCACUCUUUUAUAUAUAUAGAUGAGCCUCAACAAAUGCCAUUUUCACAUUUUUUUUAUUUUGCUAGCCCUUUUUAAGCCUUUCCCCCCUGCCAAUUGUAUAGAGAAAUGCUUACUGUGGCUCUGUUGCUUUUUGUCAUUCAAGCAACUCCUUGGCUAUGACUGGCCGGCUGUGACUUGCCCAUUGUUACCACUAGACGAUAGGCUGAACAGGUGAGUGUGUCUCCUUCAAAUAUACCUAUGUGUGCACAAUUAAAAUUCUGUUUCCAUGGAGACUCAUUCUUGCAGCUUUGCAGAUUCACUUUCUGCUGGUGAUGGUGCCAAGAAAAGUCGAUCACGUCACUGUUUAUCAAAAGGAAACACAAAAGGGGGAUACAUCUGCAAGCGCUGAUAGGUCUGAGGAUUCUGUUUCAGUCUGCAAAAAAAACGGCAUGGCUUCUCUUCCUUGGCUUGCUGCGCGCUUCUUCAGCAAACUCUCCUACAAAUGAUGCCAAAUUUUUUUUUUCCAAAGCUAAAAGUGUACACAGCAGACCUCAGGGAAGUUUUUUUUUCAUUUCAGGAGCAACUUGAGUCGCUUCUGGAGUGAGAGAAUUGGCCGUCUUCAAGGACGUUGCCCAGGGGACGCCCGGAUUUUUUUGAUGUUUUCACUAUCCUUGUGGGAGGCUUAUCUCAUGUCCUUGCAUGGAGCUGGAGCUGAUAGAGGGAGCUCAUCCGUGCUCUCCCCUGGUGGGAUUUGAACCUGGCAGCCUCAGGGAAGUGGAAACUAUUUUUUUAAAAUGAAGUUUUUGGUGGCCGAUCACCACUUCUCCUAUCUCAAAGUGUAAUUUUGAGAAUAAAAAUGGUGGAAAGAGCUGUGUAUACCGCUGUUAGCACCUUGGAGGAAAGAUGGAAUAGAAACAUCUAUAUAUAUAAAAGAGUGAUGGAAUCCUGGCGACCAACAAAACAACAAAACUAAACACCCCACAACCUAGAAAAUUGACAGCACAACCCCUCAUCCACGCCUCUAGGUUGAUACAACAAAAAGAAAAGAAAAAUAAAGUCCUAAUUAGAGAUAGAGGAAUAAUUUUUUUCAUCCAAUUGCUGCCAGUUAGAAGGCUAAGCUCUGCCCACUUGGUCUCCUAGCAACCCACUCAGCCCAGGGCCUCUUCAAUCAGGCCUCUUCUCGGCUUAGAAAUGGAGAUGAGCACCAACCCCCAGAGUCAGAUAUGACUGGACUUAACAUCAGGGGAAAACCUUCACCCUUUACCUUAACUACCAACAAGUCGUCAAUACUUUAUUUCCCAUACCACCAUACUUCGUCACAGCAACGCGUGGCCGGGCACAGCUAGUAAUAAAUAAAAACAUCCAUAAAAACAAUAAGUAAAUACCAAUUUCAAACUGAAAAUGAAAUUGCUAGAAAUUAAGGAUUUUUUUAGUUUAGAGUUCUCUCCUUACUCAGCUUGUUCCCUUUUCGGGGUUGCAUAGACUCUUCUUCUGUUCAUGUUGUUGGCCACUGUGAAAAUAUGAUUAUGAAUUAUUUCUGCUCUUUGGAAUCCUUGCUCCUUGGACUGAGAUAUUCACCAACAAUUCUGAAUGUUGUGUGCUUAAAAAAAAAAUCUCUUUCUUCUUUGUGGUCUCUGUGAAUUCACACCAAUGGGUUAACUGUGCUCACGCAGUGGAAUUCAGAACCUUCUAGAGCUCCAACGGAUACUUUUUGGUGGUUGCUCCACCCACCAUCCCGAUAGUACAGUGAUGGCCAACCUAUGACACGCGUGUCAGCACUGACACGCCUAGCCAUUUUUGCUGACACGCUGCCGCCUGCAGAUUGAUUGGAUGACUAUGUCUUUUGUGGCCAAAUUUGGUGUGAUUUGGUCCAGUGGUUUUGUUGUUUACUCCAUGGAAAUUAUGCACAUUACAUUUAUAUAGAUAGAUAGAUAGAUAGAUAGAUAGAUAGAUAGAUAGAUAGAUAGAUAAUUAUUAUAUUAUUAUAUUAUUAUUAUAUUAUUACUGUAGUAUAUUAUCAUAUUAUAUUGUUAUACUAGCUGUGCCCGGCCACGCGUUGCUAUGGCGAAGUAUGGUGGUAUGGGAAAUAAAGUAUUGAGGAAUUGGUGGUAAUUAAAGUCAAGGGUAAAGGUUUUACCUUACAUUACAUCCAUUAUAAAUGGGUUAUAUAGCUGUGUGGAAGGGCCUUGAGUCUACACUGCCAUAUAAUCCAGUUAAAAUCAGAUAAUCUGUAUUUUAUAGGCAGUGUGGAAGAGGCCAAAGUAAGACCUAACUCUGUCUGUCCCCUGGGCUGAGUGGGUUGCUAGGAGACCAAGUGGGCGGAGCUUAGCCUUCUAACUGGCAGCAAUUGGAUAAAAACAAUUAUUCGUCUCCCUCUAAUUAGGACUUUAUUUUUCUUUUCAUUUUGUUGUUUGAACGUAGAGGCAUGGAUGACUGGUUGUGCUGCCAAUUUUAGUGUUUCUGGGAUGUGUAGUUUUGUUGUUUUGUCCUAGGCCGAAAUUUCAUUAUCCUUUUAUAUAUAUAGAUUAUUCAUUAUGCAUGACCACAUUGAAACUACAAUAGACAGAAAUCAGCGUGGAAACUGCAUAGGUAGAUGGUUGUACAUGGAAAUAAUGGUAGGAAAUAGUUUUUGAUUUAUUACAUAUAGUUAUAUAUUACAAUUAUAUAUAUAUAUUAUUUAAACUAUACAUAUUGUGAAAUUAUGUUUUUUUUCCCUCAAAGUGACACGCCACCCAUGCUAGGUUUUUUGGUGAAUUUUGACACACCAAACACAAAAGGUUGCCCAUCAUUGCGAUAGUAUAUAAUGGGCAGAUGCCACCAUUGCCUUCGUUCUUUUUUUCUUCUUCACCAUAUCGGUAGUAAGGGAAAUAAUCUUCAUUUUUUAGCAUUGCUAGGUUUAGGCCUAAUUCCUUAAUUAGAUAGCUUUCAGUAAUUAAUUAGGACUUGAUUCUUUCACUAUUAGGGCUCCUAUCUAGCCUCACUAAUUGGCUCGCUGGCUAUUGUUUUCUGUGUUUUCAGUCCUACAACUUCUGGAAGGCUAUUGUACCUUUCAGUUUUGCUUUGACUCGCAUAUUGCUUUGAAAACUCAUUCUGUUUAACAUGAAGUCAACUGAAGACAUCUGUGGCUUUUGACAUGUUUUGAAAUGAACUAAGCUAAAUUCUUACCAACAAAUUCAGUUGAUACCGCGAGCAUAUUUUCAGUUUAGAUAUGGCGGCCUGCUGUGAAACUGUUAAAGAUAAGGGGUGUGUUGAGGUUAAAAAGAGGCAAAAACAAGACUGAUUUCCCAACAGAACUUGGGAAGGUUACCGUAUAUACUCGAAUAUAAGCCGACCCGAAUAUAAGCCGAGGCACCUAAUUUUACCACAAAAACUGGGAAAACUUAUUGACUCGAGUAUAAGACGAGGGUGGGAAAUGCAGCAGCUAUGGGUCAAUUUCAAAAAUAAAAUAGAUAUUAAUAAAAUUGCAUUAUUUGAGGCAUCAGUAGGUUAAAUGUUUUUUUAAAAAAAUAAAUUUGUAUUAUGAGACUUAUUUUCCAAAAGUGUUACAUUAAAAGUGGGGGAACAAUCAUUAGGGAUAGGAAAGUAGGAAAGGAUAGCUCUAUUCUAGGAGUCUACUCUACUCUAUCUAACACUAAGGGUAAUUGGGUAGGGGAAAUUGGGGAGGGACUGAGGGUUGUCGUCGACUUCCAAUCUCCUUCUUUGCGGCAAAUUCUUUUCACUUCUUUGAUAAUCACUGUGGCUUCCCCUACUCUUACCUAGACCUUAUUUUGUUUCGUUCUUGCAUUUUCUUCUAAAUCGUUAUUAACAUUUUCCUUUUCCUUUGUAACAUACCCUGUUUCCCUGAAAAUAAGACAUCCCCAAAAAAUAAGACCUAGUAGAGGUUUUGCUGAAUUGCUAAAUAUAAGGCCUCCCCUGAAAGUAAGACCUAGUAAAGUUUUUGUUUGGAAGCAUGCCUGGUGCCCGCCAAACAAAACACCAGAACUUGCAGGAUCGGUAAAUGCACAUACCAGUUGUACAUGGAAAUAAUGGUAAUCAUAUAUUAAUGUUAUAUUAUUUAUAUGUAUACAGUAGUAACAAGAAAUUAUUGUCAGGAGUCAUAGUUUGUCUGGUUUGGUUAUGUUGGUUUGUGAUGACAACUACUGUACAGUAUAUAAUAAAUGUUCAUUUCUUGGUUCAACAAUAAAUGUGAAUUCUUCUUCAUGGAAAAAAUAAGACAUCCCCUAAAAAUAAGACCUAGCACAUCUUUGGGAGCAAAAAAUAAUAUUUCGGGGAAACACUGUAUAUUUCUUUAGUGGUGACCAAUCUGUUUUAUUGCUUUUCACUCCUUGGAAGAACUUUAAUGUUUGAGUCAAUACAUCCAUAUUCAUAGUAUCCAUUAUCUUUAAAAUCCAUUCAUCUAUUGUGGGUUUUUCUUUUGACCUCCAAACUUUCACAUAAUUUAUCAUGGCAGCCGUUGUUAAGAAGUGAAAAGGUUUCUCAUAAUUUUCUGUCAUUUUACAGUCAAUUAUUCCCAACAGAUAAUAUUCUGGUUUCAAUCGUAUUUUUACAUUUAAGAUUUUCUGUACCUCUUCAUGGAUCUCCGACCAGUAUUUCUUAGCCAUUCUGCAGUUCCACCACAUAUGUAUGAAUGUUCCCGUUUUUCUUCACAUUUCCAACAUUUGUCACUCAGUUUUGGAUACAUUUUCGCCAAUUUUUGGGGUGUAAUGUACUACCUAUGGUAGGUUAAAUGUUUUUGAAUAUUUAUAUACAACUGUAAUUUAAGAUAAUAAUAAGACUUUAAUAAGAUAAGACUGUCCAACUCUGAAUACCUAUAUACUCAAGUAUAAGCUGACCUGAAUAGAAGCCGGCCAGGCUCCUCACUCAAGUAUAAGCCAAGGGGAGCUUUUUCAGCCCUAAAAAGGGGCUGAAAAACUAGGUUUAUACUCGAGCAUAUACAGUACAUUUCAAUGAAAGACAUCUGGUUGUUAGUUACAUGGAGACCAUCAAAUUGAGGUGUUGCAGGUUAUAUUUCAGAGGAAAGUACUGGCAAAACUAUCUCUGAGUAGAAUCAUAGAAUCACAGAGUUGGAAGAGACCUCACGGACCAUCCAGUCCAACUUUCUGCCAAGAAGCAGGAAAAUCUCAUUCAAAGCACUCCCGGCUUAUGUGCAGCCAAACAUUCAUUUGUAAGCACUCCUAUUCAGUUCUUUGGGUCAUCUCAUGAUGCACUUUUUAUUUUAAAGAAGGUAUUUUGCUGCUAGUGACUCAGUUGUUUCUCUUGCCUUCAGUGAAGCAGCUUUCUUGAAACUGCAAAUAUAUUUAAUGCACCUAAACAGGAAAUAGCUGUGUAGUCAGUUGACUGAACCAAUAUCUUGGCACUUUACCAAAUUGUCACAUAACCGCAGCUAUUUUUAUAGGGAGCAAAACAUGCCUGUUGAUGAGACAUUGUUUUUUCUUUCUUUCAGAGAAGCAGGUGGACAAAAUGUGAUUCUAAGAAAGUGCAAAACCUUAGCAAUGAAAUGUGGGUAGUAUUAACUUAUUUCCUUUUUGGUUUUGUUGUACAAUAUAAGGAAUUUUGCCAUAUUAGCCCUCAGCUGGUGAAGCUUUAAAAAUCCAGUGACAAGAAAGGAUGACAACCCUCAUGUUGUCUCCUAGCAUAUGGUCCAAUGAAACCUUAACUGUAAUAGGUUUUCAAUAUACAAUAGAGUCUCGCUUAUCCAACGUAAACGGGCCGGCAGAACGUUGGAUAAGCAAAUAUGUUGGAUAAUAAAGAGAGAUUAAGGAAAAGCCUAUUAAACAUCAAAUUAGGUUAUUUUACAAAUUAAGCACCAAAACAUCAUGUUAUACAACAAAUUUGUCAGAAAAAGUAGUUCAAUACACAGUAAUUCUAUGUAGUAAUUACUGUAUUUACGAAUUUAGUACCAUAAUAUCAUGAUUUAUUGAAAACAUUGACUACAAAAAUGCAUUGAAUAAUGCAUUGAACGUUGAAAAGCGAGUGUUGGAUAAGUGAGACUCUACUGUAUAAGUCUAUUUCAGAACUUAGAUGUUACCUUCUUGGACUAACAUACAGAGAAUUCCUCAGCCACCGUACCCAGUAGUAUGGUAAACCCAAAAUAUAUCUGUCCCACGUUGUGAGUAUUAUUAUUCAAAAAAAUGAACAUUGACUGGACAUACAGGGAUUAUUUUUUGUAUGGAGAAUCGCAUCAUACAAUUUUGGAGGAGUGUGCUAUCUGAAAGAGAAAAAUGAGAUUGUGAAAUUUAUUUAUUAUUUACAGUAUUUAACAUUCUCCAGCUUCCAGGCUUCGUGAGGUUGUACUCAAUUCCGGCCACAGGGGGAGCAGCUGCUUCAUCAUCCACUGUGACACCGAGUCCUUGAUGGAUACUUCCUCAUUCCAAAUGCUGCUGGAAGAUUUUUAUGGUGUCGUAAAUUAGUUAAAUUAGCCUCUCCACAUAAGCGGUACCUGAAUUUCCUACUUGAUAGAUGCAACUAUCUUUCAGGUUGCUUAAGUGGAACUCACUGCCCAUUGAGAUCAGGCAAGCCCCCACAUUAGUAGCCUUCAAGAAAGACCUGAAAACAUGGCUCUUCCGUUGUGCUUUUGGAGAGUAACUACUAUAUACUUCUUCUCUGUUGCUCCCCUCCAAUAUCUAUCCUGUAGACUGCAUCACUAUCUUAUGACCCUUUUCUUUGUGGUUUUUAUUCUUAUUUCUUUCUCACCCCAAGUUUUAACUUAGUGUUCAUGUGACCCGCCCUUGUUUUUAUUGUUUCCCUGAUUUUGCGUUGUAAUGUAUAUUAUUAUCUAUUGUAUUGUUCAAUGUGUUAUGAUGUGUUGUUCUUUUAUAUUCUGUUAUAUUGUAUUGUUCUGGGCAUGGCCCCAUGUAAGCCGCCCCGAGUCCCCGUUGGGGAGAUGGUGGCGGGGUAUAAAUAAAGUUUUAUUAUUAUUA